rnacentral:rRNA from 1 species
AACGCGAAGAACCUUACCAGGGUUUGACAUCCCGAGAAUCUUUCCGAAAGGAGAGAGUGCCGCAAGGAACUCGGUGACAGGUGAUGCAUGGCCGUCGUCAGCUCGUGUCGUGAGAUGUUUGGUUAAGUCCAUUAACGAGCGCAACCCCUUUACUUAGUUGAAUUUUUCUAGGUAGACUGCCCCGGUAACGGGGAGGAAGGAGGGGAUGAUGUCAGGUCAGUAUUUCCCUUACAUCCUGGGCUAGAAACACGCUACAAUGGCCGGUACAAAGGGCAGCCAAGUCGUGAGACGGAGCAAAUCCCAUCAAAACCGGUCUCAGUUCGGAUUGCAGGCUGAAACUCGCCUGCAUGAAGCUGGAAUCGCUAGUAAUGGUAGGUCAGCACACUACCGUGAAUACGUUCCCGGGCCUUGUACACACCGACAUA